rnacentral:rRNA from 1 species
UACAGAGGUCUCAAGCGUUGUUCGGAUUCAUUGGGCGUAAAGGGUGCGUAGGCGGCGCGGUAAGUCGGGUGUGAAAUCUCGGGGCUUAACUCCGAAACUGCAUUCGAUACUGCCGUGCUUGAGGACUGGAGAGGAGACUGGAAUUUACGGUGUAGCGGUGAAAUGCGCAGAUAUCAGGAGGAACACCGGUGGCGAAGGCGGGUCUCUGGGCCGAUACUGACGCUGGAGGAGCGAAAGCGUGGGGAGCGAACAGG